AUGUAAAGGUUGUAAUUUAUGGUUUCUUGAUCCAAUCAACAUGCCGAUUCUGAAAGUUAUUUCAAUGACACGUUCGUAACGUGUAUUAGAGCGCAUCUUCGGAUUUUAAUUUCUGAAACAAGUAAUUUUAAUAUGUUUUAUAAUCCAACUGUUGUGCAAGAAAAUAUUCUAGUUUAUUACAUCGAGGUCAUUUGAAUGAACGCGUUUAACUGAGCUUAAUAACAUAAAGAUGGAACCAUAUAAAGCUUGCCAUCUGAUCGGAAAUCCCAUUUGGUGUGGUCUUGUGCUGGGGGAAAUCCGGGGUACCCAAUGAAACCACAACAGUUCUGAAUGAUUUACUUUUGACUGACAAGAAACUUCGUUAAGUUAUGGUUCUCUUAGAGUCGGUGUUUACUGCCAUUGUGGCUGCCUGGACUUCUUACAGCUGCAUUAACAAUGAGUGUUGUAACGAUGAAUGGAUAAGAUCUGACUUAUCGAAUUUGCCAUUGACAUUGAAAUCAAAGGUUUACGGGCAGCAUCUUGUGUUCUUCCAUCUGAUUUGUAACGUCUACCUUUUUGUUAUAAACGUUGUUAGCUGUAACACGCCGACAAAGUUGAUAUUAUAAUACAUUCUUUUAGGAGCAUCCCGUUUUAAAAAUAGCUGUAUAUCCAUGGCGUAUGAUUAUAUCAGAACAUAUGCUGAGAGGAUGUUUGGAUGAUAUAGUUGUUUAAUUGUAUUUUAUGAGAAUAAACUACGCAACAAGAUAAAUGAGGCCGUUACCGCGUGCCCGCGCGCAUUGAUUAUCAUCGACGAGAUGGAAAAGAUGCCACCGGGUCUCAUAGAUGUCUUGAAACCGUACUUGAACUUCCAUGACAAAGUCGAAGGUGUGGAUUAUAGGAAAGCGAUGUUCUUUCUUCUAAGUAAUAAUGCAGGAGCAGCGAUUAGUACCAAGACAUUCGACUUCUGGAACGCUGGCAGAAGUAGAGAAUCUAUCCAAUUGAAAGACUUUGAAAAUAUUUUGCAGUUGGCAACCCUUAACGACAAAUCUAACGGCCUUUGGCACAGUGAAUUAAUCUCAAGCGGCCUCCUUACCGCGUCCAUACCGUUCUUACCCUUGGAGAGACUGCAUGUAAAACAAUGCAUUAGAGAUGCGUUGAUUAAACACAAAUUUGUGAGAACUGUACAAGAAAUACCAGAGGAAAAAGUUCAAAUGAUUGCGGACCAGUUAGCUUAUUUUCCAGACGAUAGCAAAGUAUAUGCUACAACUGGUUGCAAGCGAAUACAUGACAAAGUUCAACUAAUUAUGAAUGACUAUUAGACUUGGUUUGCCUGUAAGCUGGUGGCUGUCAGUUAUCAAUUAAGUUAAAGCUUACUAAAGGAAAAUGACCAAUUGUCUAUGCAUUACAUGACAAUAAACAUAAUACGACAUCAGCCAUAGGAAGUAGUAAAUACAUUAAACUUUUUGGCUUCAAUUAACUAGGCUAUUAUACCAUAGGCGAGUUCUUUUCCAUCUGUUUAAUGGACUGUUAGAUACUUUACACAUUACCGUUUUGGAUGAGUUGAAUAAUAUAAAAAUAGAGAGUUUUAGUAUGUUUAUAUGAUGUUACUCUUAAGCACAGACGUGCAAUAUAUAUUUAAUACCUUCUUUAAAUCCUAAUUAAAUCAACGCGAUUCAUGACAAUGAUUCAAUUUAAAUCCGACUAAUAACUUGAAAAUGAAUGCAAUUGUCAAUGUAAUACAUGUUCAUUAAAGAUAGUAAUAUGCAUGUAUACAAAAACAUAAUAUUUGUGAUACUGAUUCAAACACAUUGUUACGAUUUGCUAUUCCAUUACAAUACUGAAUAAACACCGUACGUAAUAAUACAAAAAGUAUUUAAAUACUCAAACUAAGAAUAUAAAUUGCUUUUGAUUAACCUAGAUUGUUGUGUUUUCAAAUUAAUAAUUUGAAUGCCAAAAUAAUAAUUUUAUUUCAAUCUAACAUACAUUAAGUAUAACUGAAUUUUGACGGUAAAAUAAAUACUUGCACAUUUAUCAAAUAAUUAUUAACUCAAAUUAUAUUCAAUAACUUUUUCCCGAAGUAUUUAUUAAAUUAUUGUGAAACACAAAAUAUAAAGACCAAGUCUGAAAUUCGUCCACUAGUACAAUACAAUUUUCACAUAUCGUUUCAUUGUUAGGUAUUUGGAGAAUGUAAUAGUGAAGGUUGUCUAUGAAACAUGUUGCACCGUAUUUAAAGCUUUAAAUAAUAAAGGUUGUAUUGGUUAAAUGCAAA